AGGACCACCAAGGGUAAAAUCGUGAAUCUGCACCUUAUCAAGGGUAAAAUGGUAAUUAUGUCUUUCAGUAUUCUCUUACUUCAAAACAAUUCUACAAACAAUAUUUCUGACCACAAUAAGUUAUCCUUCAACUCACAAUCUCAAGAAUACUUGGGAACGACUGAUUUCACCAUCAUUGUCGGCGGCAAUACAACAACAAUCUGAAAUAAUAGUACAAUGAAGAGAUCCAUUUCUGACAAAGUUAAGGAAGGCUUUCAUGCGACUUUGUAUUCAGAUCCAGUCCUGAUGCAGACAAAGCUAAGGAGCAAUUCAAAAUUUUGAAAUAUGUGAUACGGGCAUUCAUGCUCCGACGAACUAAAUCUCAGCUUAUCGAGUCGGGGACUCUUGUGUUGCCACCUCUUACUGAGGUUACUAUGUAAGUUCAUCUUUUUCUCAUUCGAAAAAUGACAUAUGAUUGUAGAAAUUUCACUAGAGCUUGUAGAGGAUAUGACUGCUUUAGAUGGUUGUCAACAGUAUAUCAUGUGGUUUUCUUGUACUUGUUUUUGUAAAGUGUUGCUAAUAUAUUAGUAAUUUUGGUUCUACGAUGACACCAUUGAUGGCCUUGGAAAAGAAGGUAUAUAUGUCCAUAUUAAGGAAGGAGCUAACUCAGCUGCUAACACCUGCUUCUGGAGCACCCAAUACUCUGUCAUUGCAGAAUAUUGUAUAUACCUAUAUUUUUGGCCAAGGAGUUUCUCAUUUUAGGUUUGAUGGCUUACAGAUUGAUAAUUUUAACUUGUUCUUAUCUUGUGGUGAAUUUCGAAUGAACUUUUUUGUAUCAAUAGGAAAGUACAACUAGAGGUUUCCUAUUAUACAUUAUAAGUGGCUAUAGAAAGCUUCUAAAGGUUUUGAAUACUCUUUAAUGAGAUAUUGACAUUUGACAGAUAAACUUUACACUGAAGUGGUAGUCUCGAGUUUACUACAUCCUGAGUAGUUAGAGAAGCUAUAGAGCUUCCUUUUUAGGUUGACUACAUGCCAAAUCCUGGCCAGGAUUAUUAGCAGGUGUGAAAUAAAUGAAGCUGAGUUGAAAACUGGAGGUAAGAAUUAAGCUAUGAGUCUUGGUUCUGGCCAAGAGGAUGUUCAAUUAGUAAUCCAUAAUACAUAUGGAACAGUUACAAGUGGCACAUUUUUGUUUACAAUAGCUUGUCACACUUCGGAGUUGAUGGCAUGUUACUUGUAAAAGAAUUCGUGUAAAAUAUUGGAAAAACUACAAAAACUAGCAUCCUUAAGACUAUAAUUACAAUAAAUAAUAAUAUUUUUCCAAAAUUACAACUUAUAGCAAAAGUAGCAAUAUUUUACCACUUUUUAGAAAGGAGCGUAUGCUUCUCCCAUCAGUUUAUCUUUUCCCUUUUUUCAAGCAAUAUUCACUUCUCUCUCCAAUUAACCGCAUCUUCUAUUUUUUUUUUUUCAAUUUCUGCUUUUAUCUCUCAAUUUGUUGAUAAACAUUAUGCUCCAUAGUAUUUGCAUCUCAUCUUUUCAUAUAAUUUAUAUUUUUUUUAUUUUUUCGUAUUGCUUUCUUCUUUAUUUUUUUUUUUUUGAUGUUUUGUGAUUUUUUUGGUGUUUUUCCGGCCGAGGGAUGCCGUUUCCGGCGAUGGGUGGGCUGGUGGCUUUGAUUAGACUGCUGGUUUCGGCAUUUUUCGAUGAAUUUUCGACGGAGGGUCUAUCCGGCGAAUUUCACCGUGAUGGUGACCGGCAACGACAGUAAUGUUGUUUUACCGGCGAGUAUUAGCCGGAACCGAUCACAGGGGUUGAAUUUUAGUUGGUGGUUCGCUGAUUUUGCAGAUCCGGUGAGGGACGGGCUCUCUUCUUUGCUCUCCUCCUUCAAUCCGUCAAUAUUUUUUGAGCUUCCAAUCAUCAAUGGAGUUUUGGGGUGUUGAAGUGAAAGCAGGAGAAUCUCUAAGAAGUCAGCUGGUAAGAAGAUCGGUCCAGUAACGUCUUUUGCCAAGCAAAAUGGUAAACCUGCAGCAGCCAAUGGUAACAACAAAUUUCAGUCCCUGAAAUUCGGCAACAAAUCUAACAACAAGAACGUUAGUGGCCAAAAGAAUUCAAAGGGUAAGCAAGGAAGGAAGUAGAAUGCCUGAAAGACAUAUCAUACAGUGAAGUGUGAAGCCUUUUUGAAGAGCAAAGAGUUAUUAUUUUUAAUUUUUAGUUUAAAGGAUGACAUAGAUGGAUGGUCUCUUUAUGCUUUUUAGUUAUUUUUUAGUUGUAGUCCAAAUUUUGGACGAGUGUUUUUGUUAUCAGAAAGUUUUGUAAAAAAAAAAAACCAGUAAGGGACGGACUUGGCCAUACUUUUUAUGGAUUUUUCGGUGAUGUGGUAGCGGCGGGUAAGUAUAUUCCAACAAGAUUUUUAUAAAAUGUAAUUUUUACAAUAUAAAUAUGUAUUUGUAUUUGAUACUGACAAGAUUUGUAUUUGUAUUAGUAUUUGGUACUGAUAAGAUUUGAAUUUGUUACAUUGUA